GGAGACUUUUGGGUUAUCUGAAAGGAAUCACUGAACAUUGCUUGGACUCCAGCACAAGGCAGCUCAUGCUCUAAGGCAGUCUGACAACUCUGACAGCCAGGCACAAGAGCCUUCAUCACAAAUAUGCAUGCGGUAGUCUCAGAGCAACAGGCCUGAUUGGAGACUUUGGCUUGCAUCACAAUGAAUGUCACUGUUGCCUAGUGACAAGUUCCUGCAUCUUGGUAAAAAAGCAGUCCUCCAUGUGUCAGCUGUGGACUCUCAUCUGUCUCCUCUGUGGAAUCCAUGGAAUAUUCAAAUGAUCUUAGGAGAGGAGAGACAUCAGCAAGCCUAAAGAAAUGUAAAGCAGAGCCCCAGGAAUAAAUUGUGAAAUCCGUAAGGUUACCAAAUGAUCUGCAGGAUUCUUCAUUUCUGCCUCGAUAUUGUAGGGUCUCAGGGUCAAAAUUGCCUCCCCUCCAAUGAAAAUCCUCUCUUUUAGAGGAAGAAGAGUACACCACAUCCAAGAACAGACAUCUUCCAGUGUUUUAUUGUCCUGUGGCAAACCAAAGAAGAAAUACUAACAGUCUUGUCUGCCGGCCCCUUGAAUUUACCUUGAGUUGGGUUCCCAGCUGAGUAGUUGCUUCAUGUCAUGAGAGAACACUCCUCCAUCAUCUUUGGAUUUCACCAUGGGACAGAGAGUGUGAGCAGGAAGAAGUUUAGAUAGGGGU